AGCUGCUGACCCAUGAGGCUCAGACUCCAGCCUGAAGCCCCUCUGGCCCAGGGAGUGACUGCAAAGUCAGCAGCACAUGGGCCAGGGCUGGCCAGCCUCUCAGCUCCGCGCACCCAGACGGAAGCAUCCACAUCUGCACUCUUCAUAGCAGAGACCUCUCCCUGUUCAGGUUCUGCAAACAGAAGAGAUGCCCAGAAAUAGGUAAAGACACUGAGGCUGCAGAAAAGCUGUUUCUGUGGAGGACUGGACACCAGGUUGCAGGGGGUUGAGGAAGGAGAAGGCAGUGAAGGAGCUGAACUUUACAAACAUACCUUGAAAACAUUAGGGACUUGGUUCCAGACCACCACAAUAAAUAUCUUCACCAGGAGCAGAUUCCAUCUCAAGAAACCACUUUCAUUGUUCAUGCAUAAGAAGCAAUUCUUCAUUUGUUCAAGAUUGAUCAUGAGAUUGCAGCAAUUCAGUCACAUCUUCAGGCUCCACUUCUAAUUCUAGUUUGCUUGCUGUUUCCACCACAUCUGCAGUGACUUCCUCCACUCAAGUCUUGAGCCCUUCAGAGUCAUCCAAGAGGGUUGGAAUCAACUUCUUCCAAACUCCUGUUAAGGCCGUUACUUUUGGAUCAUCGUGGUUCCAUCAAGCCUAGGAUUUUUCAAUUUUAUCUAGGACAGAUAGCUUUCACUCCAGAUAAACCCUACUACUAAGACAUGACCCCUUACGAGGUCUUCACAAAAUGCCUGGAGGGAUCAUUGAAGAAUCCUCUGUGGUGGUCAGAGCUUGAACUUUUCUCCACCUUCUGAGACCUCCAGUAAUUAUUCAACUUACAACUCCCUAUCACUUUUUGCCCAACCUUCUAGAAUUUCAUUCUAAGGAUGUGUCCCCCUUUUCACAGGAUGUGUCCUCUGAAUUCCAUUCUAAGGAUUUAGUCCUCAGCAAAGACUCAAGGGGACCCUUUUGCAGAUUUCUGGAGCUCUUUUCUCCAUAGCUCCCACCUGUGUCUCCCCUACAACUUUCAGCUGUCUGAACCUCCCUAAACUCUGAUGUCCACUGUAACUCAGGAAGGUCACCAGGCUUUCUGAGUUCUCCCUUUGUUUGGAGCUGAAAAUUACUUCCAUGCAGAAAGUUGAGGCAACCAUUAAGUAUCACCUCAUUUGUUUCCCUUCUGUCUGGGAUCACCGUCCUGCAGUUUGUUGUUCCAUGUCUGGGUGCAGUCAUUUCAUAUAUCCUCCAGUUUGCUUAUGGAGGAAAAUUUCUAAGGAUCAAGAAUUUGGAGUAACCAACUGAAUGGUUCUGGUUCAAAGUCUCUCAAGAGGUUACUGUCAAGCUGCUGGCCCAGGGAUGGCUUGACUGGAGUAGCAUUCAUUUCCAAGCUCAUUCACACAGACAUUGGCAGACCUCAGUUUCUUGCUGACUGCUGAUUGGAGACUUCAGUUCUUUACCAUAUGGGCCUCUCCACAGGAUUCCUGAGCAUCAUCAAAACAUGACAGCUGCCUUCUCGCAAAACAAGAGACCUGAGAGAGUGCAUGAGGGUGACCAAAACUUAAGUUGCAAUCUCUUCAUGACCUAAUCUUGGCAGGGACAUACCAUCACUCCUGCCAUAUGCUACUGGCCACACAGAUCAGCCCUGCUGUAACAAGGCGGGGACUGUACAAAGGUGUGACUUCCCAUUGGUGAAGAUCCAAUUUGGAGGCCAACCUGGAGGCUCCCUUCCACAGUGAAAGUAUGCAAGAGCAGCAAUUUGUCCCCCUUAUUCCUGUCUGCCUGCCUGCUGGUUGUACUGUUGAGUGUCCGCAAGAGCUUUCCUUAAUGGGACCCUACUUAUCAUCACAGAAGCCAAGAUUUUCCAUCCAAAGUGCUAUAUUAACAACUUAAUAAAUGUUGUUCAAUUCUUUAAGUCUGUGAGA